GAUGAACGCUGGCGGCGUGCCUAAUACAUGCAAGUCGAGCGAACAGAUGAGGAGCUUGCUCCUCUGACGUUAGCGGCGGACGGGUGAGUAACACGUGGAUAACCUACCUAUAAGACUGUGAUAACUUCGGGAAACCGGAGCUAAUACCGGAUAAUAUAUUGAACCGCAUGUUUCAAUAGUUAAAGACGGUUUUGCUGUCACUUAUAGAUUGAUCCGCGCCGCAUUAGCUAGUUGGUAAGGUAACGGCUUACCAAGGCAACGAUGCGUAGCCGACCUGAGAGGGUGAUCGGACACACUGGAACUGAGACACGGUCCAGACUCCUACGGGAAGAAGCAGUAGGGAAUCUUCCGCAAUGGGCGAAAGCCUGACGGAACAACGCCGCGUGAGUGAUGAAGGUCUUCGGAUCGUAAAACUCUGUUAUUAGGGAAGAACAAAUGUGUAAGUAACUAUGCACGUCUUGACGGUACCUAAUCAGAAAGCCACGGCUAACUACGUG
rnacentral:rRNA from 1 species